rnacentral:rRNA from 1 species
AUGGCGGCGGCUCAGCAGGUCAUGGCAGCACCCGUUCAUGACAAUAACAAUUGCUCAAAGGAGGAGAAGAACCGUGGCAUCACCCAAGACAUGCCCUUCACCGAGGCGGAGGAACAAGCUCCUGAUGCAAAGGUGCGUGACAACGGCGACUCCAAGGACGAGGAGGUCACGAUCGCGGUUGAUACCGAUGAGGGGCGAGGCUUAGCACAGGAAGUCGAAGCCAAGCUCGUCGUCGAGCCUGCAGAAGGUGGAGCAAAGGAAACCAAGGAAGGAAGGCCCCGCGUGGCGAAGAGGACUGAGAAAGCGGCCGCCAAGGGGGCGGUCGUCCCCGUCGACGACCACACUGAUGAUGAGGCUGCUGAGCCGAAAGGGGCAAAGAAGGCCCAGAAAGCGGCGGCCAAGUGGGCGGUAGUCCCCAUCGACGACGACACUGAAGAUGAGGCCGCUGCGCCGGGGGCAGCGCAUGUUGCUCCUGAGGAGGCGGCGGAGGCAGCUGGCGAGGAAGCGGGCGAAGGUGGCGCGAAAUGUGAGGAGAAGGCUCACGAGGAAUAG